rnacentral:rRNA from 1 species
GCUUAGGGCCAUACCACCCUGAAAAAGGCCCAUCUCAGAAGCUAAAGAGUUUUGGGCCUGGUUAGUAUUUGGAUGGGAUUCUGCCUAGAAAUGCCAGGUGCUUUAAGUG